AACGAACGCUGGCGGCAUGCCUAACACAUGCAAGUCGAACGAGACCUUCGGGUCUAGUGGCGCACGGGUGCGUAACGCGUGGGAACCUGCCCUUAGGUUCGGAAUAACUCCCCGAAAGGGGUGCUAAUACCGGAUAAUGUCUUCGGACCAAAGAUUUAUCGCCUUUGGAUGGGCCCGCGUUGGAUUAGCUAGUUGGUAGGGUAAAAGCCUACCAAGGCGACGAUCCAUAGCUGGUCUGAGAGGCUGAUCAGCCACACUGGGACUGAGACACGGCCCAGACUCCUACGGGAAGCAGCAGUGGGUAAUAUUGGACAAUGGGCGAAAGCCUGAUCCAGCACUGCCGCGUGAGUGAUGAAGGCCUUAGGGUUGUAAAGCUCUUUUACCCGUGAUGAUAAUGACAGUACCGGGAGAAUAAGCUCCGGCUAACUCCGUG
rnacentral:rRNA from 1 species